GAUGAAGAACGUAGCGAAAUGUGAUAAGUAAUGUGAAUUGCAGAAUUCAGUGAACCAUCGAAUCUUUGAACGCACAUUGCGCCCGGCAGUAAUCUGCCGGGCAUGCCUGUCCGAGCGUCAUUUCUCCCCUCGAGCGCAGCUUUCCCCCCCGGGGGAGGGCCGCGCCCGGUGUUGGGGCGCUACGGAGGAGCCCAGCGCUCCCCCGUAGGCCCCGAAAUGUAGUGGCGGUCCCGCCGCGGCGCCCCCUGCGUAGUAGUUUUACAACUCGCAUCGGGUCCCGGCGGAGGCCAGCCGUCAAACCCCCCAACUUCAAUAGUUUGACCUCGGAUCAGGUAGGGUUACCCGCUGAACUUAAGCAUAUCAAUAAGCGGAGGA
rnacentral:misc_RNA from 1 species